UACGAAGGGUGCUAGCGUUGUUCGGAAUCACUGGGCGUAAAGCGCGCGCAGGCGGCUUUGCAAGUCAGGGGUGAAAUCCUUGGGCUUAACCCAAGAAUUGCCUUUGAAACUGCAUGGCUGGAGUGUCGGAGGGGAUAGCGGAAUUCCUAAUGUAGUGGUGAAAUACGUAGAUAUUAGGAGGAACACCGGUGGCGAAGGCGGCUAUCUGGACGACAACGGACGCUGAGGCGCGAAAGCGGGGGAGCAAACAGG
rnacentral:rRNA from 1 species